rnacentral:rRNA from 1 species
GACGAACGCUGGCGGCGUGCUUAACACAUGCAAGUCGAACGGUGAAGGGAUCAGCUUGCUGGUUCUGGAUGAGUGGCGAACGGGUGAGUAACACGUGAGUAACCUGCCCCCUUCUUCUGGAUAACCGCAUGAAAGUGUGGCUAAUACGGGAUAUUCUGGGUCUGUCGCAUGAUGGGUCUGGGAAAGAUAUUGUUUCGGUGGGGGAUGGGCUCGCGGCCUAUCAGCUUGUUGGUGGGGUGAUGGCCUACCAAGGCGGUGACGGGUAGCCGGCCUGAGAGGGUGGACGGUCACACUGGGACUGAGACACGGCCCAGACUCCUACGGGAGGCAGCAGUGGGGAAGAUUGCACAAUGGGCGCAAGCCUGAUGCAGCGACGCCGCGUGAGGGAGGGAGGCCUUCGGGUUGUAAACCUCUUUCGCCAGUGAAGCAGGCCUGCUCCUUGUGGGUGGGUUGACGGUAGCUGGAUAAGAAGCGCCGGCUAACUACGUG